GACGUAGGGCGCGAGCGUUGUCCGGAUUUAUUGGGCGUAAAGAGCUCGUAGGCGGCUUGUUGCGUCGGCUGUGAAAACCCGCAGCUCAACUGUGGGCUUGCAGCCGAUACGGGCAGGCUAGAAUUCGGUAGGGGAGACUGGAAUUCCUGGUGUAGCGGUGAAAUGCGCAGAUAUCAGGAGGAACACCGGUGGCGAGGGCGGGUCUCUGGGCCGAUAUUGACGCUGAGGAGCGAAAGCGUGGGGAGCGAACAGG
rnacentral:rRNA from 1 species